rnacentral:misc_RNA from 1 species
AAGUGAACUUCAAGAGGCGAUCACCGACAUCAAGAUUGAAAUUGGCAGUCCCCUUGCCCGGGAUUGGUCCGCAGAACAUAUCAGUAAACCGAUUGGAGAUCGGUAUAGUAGUUAGUUUCGACCUCGGUCGGCAAAUUAGUCCAGUUCUCUCACCGACGUUAGAUAGUGUUCCCAUGAUUCUCCGAUUGCCGGGAUCAUAUAUUUUCAGGCAAUGGACAAAGAAAACAAUCGAAAA